UCUCGAUUGGUCUAGUGGUAAGGAUACCUGCUUGUCACCCGGUGAUGGCAGCAUCUACACUUAUGGAUGCUGGUAUACAUGAAAAGGUCGCAGGUGGCCGGGGUUCGAUUCCCCGAUCGAGAG